UACGUAGGGUGCGAGCGUUAAUCGGAAUUACUGGGCGUAAAGCGUGCGUAGGCGGUCCGCUGUGUCCCGUGUGAAAGCCCCGGGCUCAACCUGGGAAUUGCAUGGGAAACUGGCGGACUCGAGUCCCGGAGAGGAAGGUGGAAUUCCUGGUGUAGCGGUGAAAUGCGUAGAUAUCAGGAGGAAUACCGGUGGCGAAGGCGGCCUUCUGGACGGUGACUGACGCUGAGACGCGAAAGCGUGGGGAGCAAACAGG
rnacentral:rRNA from 1 species